CACCCUAAUUACAACUGGACGAUUCAUUGCAAAACUAUAUACCCCGACGCUAUAUCUACCAGUAUCAUUGUGAAAUUUCUAUAUGAACCGAAUAGCUUAUUGCAGUCAUUUUCAACAGCGGUCAAUAGACCAAAUCUGACAAAUGCGAUUCUGUACGAAAUAAAAACCAAUGAGAGCGGCUAUGUAUGUGACAUCAGUACGAACAUCACCGUCAAGGAGGGACCGUUAAUGAUCAAAGUUUCAGGGCAUUACGAUGUAAUAGAUCAUUUUUGGUGCCAAAAUAUUGAGCAUGAAGAAGGUGGAAACCCUAACGUAUUUUUAACAAAAGCAAAUUUUUCUGAAUACGAAAAUCCAAAUGAAGCCAUAG